UUUGCUUCUCGGCCUUUUGGCUAAGAUCAAGUGUAGUAUCUGUUCUUAUCAGUUUCAUGCUGGUGGCAGGCGACACCAGUGUGGAGCUGGUGGGAUGGGUGCUGCAUGGUAGGGAGCAGGUGUUCCGGGGCUGGUUCUGAGGAAUCAGCUCGACGGCUGCCCCGAUGUUUUCCUCCAGGUCUCGCCAUAAGGCU